rnacentral:rRNA from 1 species
CCUACGGGGGGCAGCAGUGGGGAAUAUUGGACAAUGGGGGGAACCCUGAUCCAGCCAUGCCGCGUGUGUGAAGAAGGCCCUCGGGUUGUAAAGCACUUUCAGUGAGGAAGAACGCCUGGUGGUUAAUACCCAUCAGGAAAGACAUCACUCACAGAAGAAGCACCGGCUAACUCCGUGCCAGCAGCCGCGGUAAUACGGAGGGUGCGAGCGUUAAUCGGAAUUACUGGGCGUAAAGCGCGCGUAGGUGGCUUGAUAAGCCGGUUGUGAAAGCCCCGGGCUCAACCUGGGAACGGCAUCCGGAACUGUCAAGCUAGAGUGCAGGAGAGGAAGGUAGAAUUCCCGGUGUAGCGGUGAAAUGCGUAGAGAUCGGGAGGAAUACCAGUGGCGAAGGCGGCCUUCUGGACUGACACUGACACUGAGGUGCGAAAGCGUGGGUAGCACACAGGAUUAGAUACCCUAGUAGUC